rnacentral:piRNA from 1 species
UGAAGAAGACAUAGUGAGUCCUGGG